rnacentral:rRNA from 1 species
UACGGGGGGGGCAAGCGUUGCUCGGAAUCACUGGGCGUAAAGGGUGCGUAGGCGGGUCUUUAAGUCAGGGGUGAAAUCCUGGAGCUCAACUCCAGAACUGCCUUUGAUACUGAAGAUCUUGAGUUCGGGAGAGGUGAGUGGAACUGCGAGUGUAGAGGUGAAAUUCGUAGAUAUUCGCAAGAACACCAGUGGCGAAGGCGGCUCACUGGCCCGAUACUGACGCUGAGGCACGAAAGCGUGGGGAGCAAACAGG